GGCGUGGUAGCAAAGUGGUUACUGCGUGUGACUAGAAUUUGAGGUCGGAUCAGUUCCAACUGAUCCCUUCAUCGUGCUAUCACAUUCCUUCGGGAGCGUAGGUUCGAGUCCUGCCCACGUCG
rnacentral:tRNA from 1 species